AACGAACGCUGGCGGCAUGCCUAACACAUGCAAGUCGAACGAGACCUUCGGGUCUAGUGGCGCACGGGUGCGUAACGCGUGGUAACCUGCCCUUAGGUUCGGAAUAACUCCCCGAAAGGGGUGCUAAUACCGGUUAAUGUCUUCGUACCAAGUAUGUAUCGCCUUUGGUUGGGCCCGCGUUGGAUUAGCUAGUUGGUAGGGUAAAAGCCUACCAAGGCGCCGAUCCAUAGCUGGUCUGAGAGGAUGAUCAGCCACACUGGGACUGAGACACGGACCGGACUCUUACGGGAGGAAGCAGGGGGGAAUAUGGGACAACGGGCGAAAGCCGGAGCCAGCAAUGCCGCGUGAGUGAUGAAGGACUUAGGGUUGGAAAGCUCUUUUAAAAGGGAUGAUAAUGACAGUACCGGGAGAAUAAGCGCCGGCUAACUCCGUG
rnacentral:rRNA from 1 species